rnacentral:rRNA from 1 species
AACGUAGGAGACAAACGUUAUCCGGAGUUACUGGGCGUAAAGGGCGUGCAGGCGGUCUGUUAAGUCUGGCGUGAAAGCUCCUGGCUAAACCGGGAGAGGUCGUUGGAUACUGGCGGACUAGAGGACGGUAGAGGCGUGUGGAAUUCCGGGUGUAGUGGUGAAAUGCGUAGAGAUCCGGAGGAACACCAGUGGCGAAGGCGACACGCUGGGCCGUACCUGACACUGAUACGCGACAGCAUGGGGAGCGAACGGG